AUGUUUGAUGUUCUAACGUUGACCCGUAAUCCGGGUUGCGGACAGUGUCUGGUGGGUAGUUUGACUGGGGCGGUCUCCUCCUAAAGAGUAACGGAGGAGCACGAAGGUUGGCUAAUCCUGGUCGGACAUCAGGAGGUUAGUGCAAUGGCAUAAGCCAGCUUGACUGCGAGCGUGACGGCGCGAGCAGGUGCGAAAGCAGGUCAUAGUGAUCCGGUGGUUCUGAAUGGAAGGGCCAUCGCUCAACGGAUAAAAGGUACUCCGGGGAUAACAGGCUGAUACCGCCCAAGAGUUCAUAUCGACGGCGGUGUUUGGCACCUCGAUGUCGGCUCAUCACAUCCUGGGGCUGAAGUAGGUCCCAAGGGUAUGGCUGUUCGCCAUUUAAAGUGGUACGCGAGCUGGGUUUAGAACGUCGUGAGACAGUUCGGUCCCUAUCUGCCGUGGGCGCUGGAGAAUUGAGGGGGGCUGCUCCUAGUACGAGAGGACCGGAGUGGACGCAUCACUGGUGUUCGGGUUGUCAUGCCAAUGGCACUGCCCGGUAGCUAAAUGCGGAAGAGAUAAGUGCUGAAAGCAUCUAAGCACGAAACUUGCC
rnacentral:rRNA from 1 species